GGAAAACAAGAAGAAAGAAAACAGAUCUAUGUGCAUGCACCAGCCUUCCUUCAAACAAGCACUCGGUGUAGCAGAAAGUCCAAGAAAAGGCUUACUCCCAGGAGGAUCAAGAAGAAAGCAACGGUGAAGAAAGGACCGAUAGCAGCAUGGAGAAUACAGAAAGCAGAUAAAGAGGGAAAGGAGGAGGUGGAGGUGAGCAGAAAGCAGCUCAGAAAAUUGCACAAGCUGUGGGGAGUUUUUCCAUCAAGACGUUUGUGCAUC